rnacentral:rRNA from 1 species
UUGUUCCCUGAGAUUAGCGGCGGACGGGUGAGUAACACGUGGGCAACCUGCCUAUAAGACUGGGAUAACUUCGGGAAACCGGAGCUAAUACCGGAUACGUUCUUUUCUCGCAUGAGAGAAGAUGGAAAGACGGUUUACGCUGUCACUUAUAGAUGGGCCCGCGGCGCAUUAGCUAGUUGGUGAGGUAAUGGCUCACCAAGGCGACGAUGCGUAGCCGACCUGAGAGGGUGAUCGGCCACACUGGGACUGAGACACGGCCCAGACUCCUACGGGAGGCAGCAGUAGGGAAUCUUCCGCAAUGGACGAAAGUCUGACGGAGCAACGCCGCGUGAACGAAGAAGGCCUUCGGGUCGUAAAGUUCUGUUGUUAGGGAAGAACAAGUACCAGAGUAACUGCUGGUACCUUGACGGUACCUAACCAGAAAGCCACGGCUAACUACGUGCCAGCAGCCGCGGUAAUACGUAGGUGGCAAGCGUUGUCCGGAAUUAUUGGGCGUAAAGCGCGCGCAGGUGGUUCCUUAAGUCUGAUGUGAAAGCCCACGGCUCAACCGUGGAGGGUCAUUGGAAACUGGGGAACUUGAGUGCAGAAGAGGAAAGUGGAAUUCCAAGUGUAGCGUGAAG